UACAGAGGUGGCAAGCGUUGUUCGGAAUUACUGGGCGUAAAGGGCGCGUAGGCGGCCAUCUAAGUCAGACGUGAAAUCCCCCGGCUUAACCUGGGAACUGCGUCUGAUACUGGAAGGCUUGAGUAUGGGAGAGGGAUGUAGAAUUCCAGGUGUAGCGGUGAAAUGCGUAGAUAUCUGGAGGAAUACCGGUGGCGAAGGCGGAUCUCUGGGCCUGUCCUGACGCUGAGGCGCGAAAGCUAGGGGAGCGAACAGG
rnacentral:rRNA from 1 species